UUAAAUGAAGUAGGGUUUCCUAAAUGAGAGUGCCUGUUCCCUUUCCCUUCUUGACUGCUCAAUUCUCAUCUCUUCUCGUCCUUCCUUUGUUUUCGUUUUUGAUGUUUCAUCACCAGAUCGUAACCUUAUUGAUUUCUCCCCUCCUAUCUGACCUCUAUUCAGCUGAUUAAUCCAGUUUAUGUCUAUUUGCCAGGUGAAAAUAAAGUAUCUUUUCCAACUCUUUGCUUGCUUCUCUGAACUGUAACAACGUAUCCACUACUGAGUCGAUCUGCAAGGAACGCACCUAGAUUCAUCCAUGAAACUGUGACUCCUUUAUGUGGUUCAGCUGCCGAUCUUAGCCCUGUCGGGUUGUUGUUUCCAAGCUGACUUCUAGUCUGCUGAUUUUUCCAAAAUAUCAGCCAUUUGCCAAGUGAAAAAUUGAGUAUCCUGUACAUUUAUUUACUUGGUUUUCUUGGACUUUAACAUCAUCUCCAUGACUGAGCAGAUCUGCAAAGGAAAAGGCUAGAUGCGCCCAUAGAGCUUCGACUCCUGUUGAUGGAUGCCACUAUUAGACGUAUUUUCCUCUUUCCGUUCAUUUUUUGUGCUGUAUUGCUGAUUAAUGUUACUACUUAGUCUUGACCUGUGUUUGCCCUUUAUCCUCGAUCUGGCGUAAUCCUUAAAUAGGGACUUUGAUAUUUAUCACUAUUUACAAUUGCUUUACAUCUUUGAUGUAACUGGUUAGCAUUAAUGUAAGUGGCUGCUCCUGCAUCAAUAGCUAAAUUAGCUAGAUAAUCUGCUAACUUGUUUGCCAGCUUCCUGUUAAAAUCUUCUGCAUUAGUAGUGAAUCCAUUUGAAAUAUGACCUUGUCAAAAUGUGUAUUCCUGCAAUGUUUAGCUGCUUGAAGUAUUGCAUCUGCUUCUGUUUGCAAACUAUCUGUAUGUGUAUGUGUUUCUGCAUGAGCAUAUAUAAGAUCCCCUGUAUGAUCUCUCAGGCAAUAAGCAUAAGAACUCUUAUCUUCAGCUCCUCUGAAAGAUCCAUCUGUAUUAUAUUUAACCCAUCCCUGCUCUGGUAUCUCCCAUUGCACUAUUGUGACUCUCAUUUUGCAUUUAAUUCUGUCCAGCUCCUGUACAAUUUGUAGAAGUCUGACAUUCCUUGUAAUGUUAUGAAUGAUCCUCAGAACAGAUGUAUUCUUGUUAUCAUGUUUCUUCUUGUUCCUCCUCUUCCAAAUCUCCCAAAGUAUAAUACUAGGUAUAGCCUGAAAAUAAGGUUGUUUUUUCCCUUUAGCUCUUGCCUUCUACCAUGAAAUGACAGUGUUCCUCAAGGUUAAUCCUUAAACAGGUAUUCCUGCAAAAGAAGAAAAGUAGAAAGUAGGACCAAGUCCUGUUAGCAUAGAAAGGCCUUCUGAAAACAUGGGCUAUUGUUUCCACUGUAGGAUCAUCACAACACCAGUAUUUGGAUGGACCUUGUAAACCCCACCUUCUGAAAUUAUCAUCCACAGGGAUUUUGCUCUUCCGCAACCUCCACAUAAAGAAAGCAAUCUAAAAUAGCAAUCUUUUUACCCAUAUACCUUUAUCUCUGACAUAAUGCCAUGCUAAUCUCACUGUAAAUCUUCCUCGAGUUUUCAAACACCAAACUGGUAUAUCCUUUCCUUGUGCUAUUGGGAGGUGCAACCUUAUCCAUGAUAUGUUCAGCCAUGUCUGGUUUGAACAAUUUUAUAAGUGUUUCCUCAUCCCAUCUCCCAUCCUUUACCAACUGAUUUACCUAUUUAUACUGAUCUCUAAACUCCCAACUGCCAUCUAUUAAAGAAUAUAAUUCACCUUGACCAGUCCAAUUACCUAACCAUAUAUCUACAUUACCCCUCCUCAACUGCCAUACUAUAAGAUGUUCCACUAAAUCUCUUGCUAACAACAUUUUAUUCCACACUUGUGAACCACUAGCUCCUAUUCUCCAAACAGUCAUUGACGGAUGCUCCCUUUUAUAAUAUUUAUUAUACAUGUACUCACUCCAGAUGGACUUUGUAGUCCUGAAAUUCCACCCUAACUUGCAUAAGAGGGCCAUAGAAAUAUCAGUCAAUUUUCUAAACCCUAAUCCCCCUUUCUCCUUAGGUAAACAUACCUCCUUCCAUCUCACCCAAUGUCUACCUUUUUCACCUAUUCUGCUGCUCCAGAAAAACUGAGCUAGAGCCUUUUGUAAAGUGUUCAGCACAUUAAGAGGCGGAUUCAUUACUGAAAGGGAAUGAAUUGGUAUGCUUUGCAGUACAUGUUGGAUCAACACUGCUUUCCCACCAUAAGAUAACAAUUUCCUUUUCCAACCUUGCAAUUUAUUUGCUAUCUUAUUCAUCAAUUGCUGAAAGAAAUCUUUCUUCUCUCUCAUGUAGAAAAUUGGACAACCCAGAUAAUUAAAAGGAAAUUCUCCUCUUAGUAUACCUGUAGUUACUUCUGCCAUCACCAUAGUUCCAUUUGACACUCCUUUAUGAAUGUUUAAUGCACUCUUCCCUUUGUUGAUUUUCUGGCCUGGUACAGCUUCAUAUCCUUCCAAUGUUGAGGAUACUAUCUGUAAUGUUCUCAUUUCAGUUUUACAGAAGAUGAUCAUAUCAUCAUCAAAAGCUAAGUGAUUCAGCUUUGGACUUCCCCUUGCAUCCCAAACAACCUGAAUUCCUUAGUUAGCAUAAGCUUUUUCAAGUUGACUGAUAGAACUUCAGCAGCUAUGAUAAACAAAGUAGGUGAUAAAGGGUCACCUUGCUUUAAUCCUCUUGAAGACUUGAAAAACCCCUUAGGUUGCCUAUUUAAUAAUAUGGAGUACCAAUUAUUUUCCAGUAACCUAAACACCAUAUCAAUUAAUAUUUCAGAAAAACCCAUUUUCCUCAGAACCUUUGUCAAGAAUAACCAUCCAACCCUAUCAUAAGACUUCAUCAUAUCCAAUUUCAAGACCAUGUUAGGAGGUUUUCCUCUUUUUCUAAUUUAUUUGAAAAUUUCUUGUACAAUCAGUACAUUCUCAACUAUACUUCUAUUUUGUACAAAACCUGCCUGUUCUGGUGAAAUUAAUUGAGGAAGUAAACUCUUUAACCUCUCAUGAAUUAUUCUGGAGAAAACCUUGUUAACACAAUUACUUAGUGAAAUAGGUCUCAAAUCUGAAAAAGAAUUUACCACUAAUUUUUUUGGUAAUAAUCCCAAAUUGGUAUGUAUGAUAAAUCUUGGCAGAGUAUGUCUACAGAAGAAUGCUACCACCAUCUUCUGAAUAUCUGUCUUAAUGAUAUCCCAAGCAUCUUGAUAAAAGGCAGCAGUCAUAUCAUCAGGUUCCCAGCACUGUUCUUAUUUAGGCCCAUUACAACAGAUUUGAUCUCCUCUUCUGCAGGUUUCAUAAUUUCAGUAUUUUGUUCUUCAGUAAUCAAGGUAGGCACUUCAUCAAUCAUUGAAAAGUCUUCUGCAUCUCCUUCUUUGGUAAAUUGUUUUUGAAAGAAAAUGACAGCCGAGUCUGCAAUCUCACCUGCUUCUUCCACUCAUACUCCUUUUUCAUCUUGUAUUUUUUUUAUUUUGAGCCUGUUCCUUCUUCCUUUUACUAUAGUGUGAAAGAAUUUGGUAUUGCUUUCACCAUCUCUAAGCCACUCAUACCCAGCCUUCUGUCUCCAGUAAUCUUUUUCCUUUUCAGCUAAAUAUUUAACUGUGCAUGUGCUUUGAACAACCGCUCCCUAUUAGCUCCACUUGGAUUUUCUUUAAAUUGCUUCUCUUUUACCUUGAUAAUAUUUUCCAGGGUUGCAAUUUCUUGGAAUAUAUUACCAAAAGUGUUCUUGCUCCACCUUGUUAAAGCAGAUUUAGUGUUUCUAAGUUUCUGAUGAAACAUUAUGAAAGGAUCUCCUGUCAGUUCUGUUUUCCAGCUGUCCCUGAUAAUCUCCAAAUAAGACUCUUCCUUUAACCAUAGAUUUAAAAAUCUAAAAGGUUUGAUAAUCUGCUCCUUUUCCACUCUGCACUGUAAGAAUAAAGGAGCAUGGUCAGACACACUCCUUGAAAGGUGUUCAAUCUCCAUAAGCUAAAAAAUACUCUAUAACUUAUCAUUAACCAGUAUUUUGUCAAGCCUUUUGAAAAUGCACCUUUCAUCAGUUCUCCCAUUCCACCAUGUGUAUUUACUUCCUUUAUAUUGAGGCUCUUCCAUAUUACACAUACUAAUACACUGAUUAAACUCUUGAGUUUCAUUAAUUAUAACUGGUAAGCCCCCCAAUUUUUCCUCUUCAUGCCUUAUCAGAUUAAAAUCCCCCCUAUAAUCCAAGGACUUUGAUAAAUAUCAGCCAAAUCAACUAAAGAGUCCCACAAAAUCUGUGUUUCAUUAGAAUUACACUUAGCAUAUACCAAAGUAACAAUCACUAACAAAUCAACACUUUGUAGGAUUAUUGAUAACUGCUGCUCUUCGUCCUUCAAAACUGUCUUUUCCACAUCUUCAUGAAUAAAAAUGCCCAGAUUUUCCCAGACAUAUUCACUAAAGCAUGUGUCAGACUCAAUCUCCUCCUGUAAUCUUCUAUAUGAAUUCUAUCCUGAAAAGGUUCCAUGAUUCCUACAAAAUAGAAUUGAUAUCUCCUGUGCAUGGUGAUCAAUCUAGUGAAGGCCUUUUGAGUGUUUACAGACCUUAUGUUCCAUAUGAGUGCAUUCAUAAUGAUUUAGACUUGGUAGACUGACUCCUCGUAUUCAUUGCUGCUGAACUUGUAAUGUUGUUCCUUUUCUUUGUCUUCUUCUGAUUAGCCUUCAAGGCUAUUACUUGCUUUGGAGAUAAAUCUGCUUCUUUAGCUAUUUGAUCUAUAUUAUCAUCCAGUACAUUCUCAUCCAAAUCUUCUUUAUUCUUGUUGCAUGCUUCAACCUGGCCUUGUGAUGUUAUUGCCAAGGGUGAAAUCCCUUUCAGAACCAUCAAUUCCAUUUCCUCUGCCUUAUAAAUUUGCAUCUGCAUAUCAUCUUUACUCUGUUGUUAAAUGGAAACAUGUAACAAAAAGAUACUAUUAAUAGCCAUGUGUAAUAAUUUUCCUUCACAAAAAAAAAUUAAAAUACCAAAAAAGUCCUUGCGAGGACUACCAAAAUCAAGAUCCUCUAAGGCGAGAGUUGACACUAUCAUGUUAUGUCUUCGUUUAUGAGAUGUUCUACAACUCUUGCCUUAGAGGCAAGACUUAGAUCAAAGACUUUCAAACUAUAAAUUAUGCCCCACGGGCAAGAGUUGACACUAACACGUUAUGACUUCAUUUAUGAGAUGUUCUACAACUCUUGCCUUAGAGGCAAGACUUAGCUCAAGGACUUUCAAACAAUAAUUUAUGCCUCAUGGGCAACAGUUGACACUACCACAUUAUAUCUAUUUAUGGGAUAUUCUAUAACUCUCGCCCUAGAGGUAUGAAUUAUCUCAAGAAUCUUCAAACAAGUUACAUAUAUUGAGCAAGAGUCAACACUAACACAUUAUGUUUUUUACUUAUGAAAUGAUCUAUAACUCUUGUCUUAGAGGUAAGAAUCAACCUAAGGAUCAUCAAACAACAAGUUAUGCCCCAUGGUCAAGAGAUAAUACCAUCACAUUGUGUAUUGAUUUAUGAGAUAUUUUAUAACUCAAAGCAAGACUUAGACCAAGGACUUUUAAACAACAAGUUACGCUUCGCGGACAAGAUUUGACACUACCACAUUGUGUCUUGAUUUAUGAGAUAUCUUGAUUUGUGAGAUGUUCUAUAACUCUUGCCUUAGAAGCUCAAAUUUUUCCAUGGACUUUCAAACAACAAGUUACGCCCUAUGAGCAAGAGUUGACACUACUACAUCGUGUCUUGAUUUAUGAGAUAUUCUAUAACUUUUGCCUUAGAGGCGAGACUUAGCCGACAAGUUAUGCCCCAUGGACAAGAGUUGACAAUAUCAUAUUGUGUCUUGAUUUAUGUGAUGCUCUAUUAGUCUUAUCUCUAAGACAAAACUUAGCCUAAGAACCUCUCAAAAGAACAAGUUACGCCUAAUAGACAAUUGUUGACGCUACCAUAUUGUAUUUUAAUUUGUGAGAUGUUCUAUAACUCUUGUCUUAGAAGCAAGACUUAGCUCAAGGAUUUUCAAACAACAAGUUAUGCUCCACAAGUAAGACUUGACACUACCACAUUGUGCUUGAUUUAUGAGUUGUUCUAUAAUUUUUGCCUUGGAGGCAAAACUUUUCCCCAAGAACUUUCUAACAAUAAUCCAUACACUUAAAUUUACUUUGAUGUUAAAAAAAGAAGAUUUCUUUGCGGAUUAUUUAAUUUUUUAUUUAUUAGUAAAGUAUAAUAGAAGUUGAGAAAAAAAAAGAGAUCAAACAAAAUAGAGAAAUAAAAAGAAGAGUGAGAAAAAAAAAAAGACAUGAAAAAAAUAAAGAUUAAGAAAAAAGUGAAGAAUUAAAAAAAUUGAGAAAAACAAAAAUGUGAGGAAAAAAAUAAAAACAAAGUUUGAGAAAAAUGAGGGAAAAAAUGAGAGAUGCUAAAAACAAAAAAUAAAAGAAAAAUAAAGGUUGAGACAGAAAAAAAAAAAGAUGAAAUAGAUAAUGUUUGAGAAAAAAAAAAGAGAAAAAAAUAAAUGUUGAGACAAAUGAAUUAAAACAUGAAAAUAAAAUUAAAGAAAAAAUAAAAAAUUGAAAAUAAUAAUAAUAAAAAUAGAAUUUGAGAGACAAAUGAGUGUGCAAAUUUUAAAAAUAUUUAAGUUGUAGAGAGACAAAAUUGUACUUGUACUAUACUUAAAAAGGAAGUAAUGCUAGUCAAGACUUUUCUUAUUGAGAUAAGAAAUUCCAAGUCACCCACCAUUGGAGCUAUACUAUGUAAUUUUCUGAAUAUGAGGGCCGUUUAUAUAGUUAACUUGAUGAAUAAUUACCCAUAAAGUAAAGUGCUAAAGUAAAUGUAAAUUUCGAUGACAAAUUUAGGGGAAUUUUAUUCCUUUUCUCUUUUAUUGAGCUUAGGGGUGUGCAUCGGCCGAUUCGAUUCAAUUUUAUGUAUUAUUGGUUUGGUUUUCGGAUUUUAAAUAUGCAAAACCAAUAACCUAUCAAUAAGAUAUUUUCUUAUCGAUUUUUGGUUUAUCGGUUUUUGAUGCUUAAUGGUUCGAUUUUUGGUUUAACCAAUAAGAAAAUGUUCAUUAAAUAAAAAUAGUAACAACUAAUAUAAAAAAAUGAAAUCUUAGUUGCCGCCAAAAUCAUACGCAAUGCAUUUUAGUUUAAAAGAAUCUUCAAACUUGAACUGAAUGUUGGUUCGAAAAAAAACUGAAUCUUUAUUGUUGGAAGCUACUAAAUGCUUCAAGCUUUCCAAUACAACAAUACCCGAGCUUUGUAUUGUGCCUUUGUUUCCCUGAAUAGGUUAAUACUUUGUGAAUCUUUGAAUUAUGAUUAUGUAGUGUGUUUGUGAGUGUAUGUGUGAGUGUGUGUAUAUAUAUAACACAAAUAGGAGUAAAACAAUAACUUAUUUUAUCUUUAUUAAGCUAAAACCGAAACCGAACCAUUUACCCAAUAAUUUUUUUUAUAAAACCAAUAAAAAAUCGUUAAUCUAAUACCAAUAAUCCAAUAACAUUUUUAUCAAUUCGAUUUAUCAAUCGGUUCAAUUUUUGCACACCGCUAAUUGAGGUGAACAAAAAUUUCAUGAAGAGGCCCAAGAGAUGAGCAGGUCAAAAGCCUAAAAAUUUAAAGCCCAAAGUGAAAGUAGCGGACUGGUGGGCGAGCACAUUCAUGAUUCGCUCGUCACGUAGACAACAGAAAGAGGAAAAGCCGCAAGGCUAAUCGGAGAGCUAGUGACCGACGUCCCAACAUAUUUCACUUGCAAGUGGCUGCUUUGUGGCGAACCCUGAAUUCAAAAUUUUCAACUCCAAAGUAAUCUCCAAUUUUCUCUGUUUAUGCUGGGGUUUUUUUGCUUUGUGAAUUCGUCUGUUUUAUAUCUUCUUUUAUGGAUUGCUUUAUGGGUUUAUGGACAAAUCUUUAGCUUAAAAGGCGGCAUCUUUUGUUCUUAGUUGUAUGAUUACAUUUACACACUACUAAAUGGAGAAACCAAUAAUAGAAAUUUAGGAAGCUGGGAAUGGACUUAGAUUGAGAUUUUAUUAUUUAUGACAAUUUUCUUGCACCUUACCCUGCAAUUUGUAGUUUAAACCGAGAAUCAGAUCUUUCUUGUAACUCCCAGUCGGUAAUGUCUAUCCAUGAGCACCCCAAGUAGUGUUCAUAUUGGUUUUACUAAGGGUAGCAUUACAAAGCCAACAACCUUGUGGUGUACUUAAGGGUGUGGUCUAGUGGUCAAUGAAGUGGGCCAGAACCAUGAGGGCUCAGGCUCAAACCCUAGCAUAGACAAAAAUCCCAAUAAAAGCAAAAAAUACUAGGUGAUUCUUCCUAUCUGUCCGAGCCUUGGUGAACAAAGUUACCUAGUAUCCGUUGUUGGUGAGAGGUGGCACCAUAUCCUAUGGAAUUAGUCAGAUGCAUGAAAGUUAGACUGAAUACCACGGUUAUUAAAAAGAGAUCAAGAACCCUUGUGGCUUGUAUGAGCGUUGGAAGAACAUACGGGGGAAAAUUGUUCCUUCCAAGUUAGUUGUCGGAAUAUUACAUUUUUAAUGAUGUUUUCUGAACCGAAGCAUGUUUACCAAAAUUUCUGUUUUCUAGUUGAAGUAUCUGGUGAGAAGAUGAGUUCUCGGAAGAAGACAUCUUUCCAGAAGCAUAGAGAAGAGGAAGAGGCA
rnacentral:lncRNA from 1 species